AAUAAAUAAUCUAGUGAUAUUAAUAUUUCCUUAGUCAUAUUUCUAAGAUUAACUACUUAACUUAUCCAUAUUUUAUUAGUUUUAAAUAAAUUUCAUCAUUUUUAUUUUGUUUAAAUUAUUACUAAAAAGAAAAAAAAAAAAGAUAAAGUCAAAUCCUAAAAUCUACCCAACUCCCACGUUUCCCAAUUAUCCUACACCUCCUCUCCCACGUUCCCCACUAUUACCCAACACAAUAUAACACACACAAACACACAUACAUCAUUAUAUAUAUCAUGUACACACGGACAACACAGUGGAGGCACGGAUGAGAGAAAAGGAAAACAAAAGCAAAAAAAAAAAAAAAAAGGAAUAAGUGAGAAAAAGAUUGAAAAAAUAAAGAAAAAUCAAAGGAGAAGAGGAAAAGAAAUUUGGGUUUGGAGUUUAGGAUCUCUGUUUGAGUUUUUUGGUUCGACAUAAAAGCUUCCCUUUUGAUUUAAUUCGUCAUACAGGUACACUGACUCGGCCUACAUAUAUUGUGGAAAAUAAUGAUGAUGUAGCUGAUAAUGAAGUGUGUGGAUCAGACAGUGAUGAACCUUCAGAAUAUGAAUCAAUGGAUGAUGUUGAAACGUCUGAUGAUGAUAAUAUAAUUGGAGAAGAUGCAGCUCUGGUUGCUCGUAGUGUUAGUCAUCCAUCAAUAGAAAUUCCAUAUUUGGAUAAUACCGAAGAAAGCGCAGGAGAUUUUGCGUACACAUGUGAUGAUAGUUUCAAUCAAGCUACUCUUUGGAAUUUAAAGAAUCCGGAAUUCAUUCAAACAGGUAUGUUAUUCACAAAUAAAAAACAAAUGAAAGUUGUUGUGAGAAUGUUUAGUCUUAAAAAAAGAAAGGAGUAUAUUUGUGAUAGAUCCAAAAGUAAGAGCUGGAGGAUUAUGUGCAAGCGUUACAUAUUUGGGAUGCAAUGGAUGAUUCGCUUUCGAGAGAUUUCAGGUGGUAUGUGGAAAGCAGGAAAAUGAUACAACCACAUACUUGUCUGACUGAUAACUACAAGAAAGAUCAUUUCAAUCUAAACAUCAAUAUGAUUGUUGUUAGGUUGGUACCACAUAUUAUGCAGAGCCCGAAUAUCAGUAUUAAGGCGGUUCGAGAAGUCAUCAAGUCAAAGCAUUAUUUUACUCUCAGUUAUAGAAAAGCUCAAAGAGGUCGAAAAAAAGCAUUUGUGAUGGUAUAUGGAGAUUUUGAAAGUUCUUUCAAAGCAUUACCUCGCUACAUGACUUCACUACAAUAUUUCAAUCCCGGUACUGUUGUUGAAUGGGAGCACUAUUCUUAAACAAUGCAGGGUAAGAAAAUAUUUAAAUUUUUAUUUUGGAAUUUUAAACCGAGCAUUGAUGGUUUCAAAUACCGCAGGCCCGUCAUUUCAAUAGACGGUACCCAUCUUUAUGGUUUGUACAAUUUGAAACUAUUAAUUGCUGUUGGGAUUGAUACUAAUGGUAAUAUUCUUCCGCUUGUAUAUGCUCUUGUUGCACGUGAAAGUUUUGAAUCAUGGUCAUGGUUUCUUAAGUUAUUAUGGAGGCAUGUUAUCGGUGAGAGAAAAAAAAUGGUUUCAUUUCCGACCGUCAUAAAAGAAUAUUACAAUGUGUUCAGUCUUAUGAUUGGUUGAGUCCACCAAACACUUUUCAUAGAUUUUGUGUUCGACACUUGAAAGUCAAUUUUAAUUAAAAAAAAUUGAAUAGAGAGAUCGAGAACUUAAUGUGGUCGGCUUCCACGGAGCAUCAAGAAAGGAAGUUUUUUCAAAGAAUGGAACAAAUUAAGAUAUUGUCCCCUGCAACAUAUAUGUGGUUAGAUAAAUUUUCGCUAGAUAAAUGGACAAUGUAUAAGGAUGAUGGUCGUAGAUGGGGUGCCAUGACAACAAAUGUAUCCGAGUCAUAUAAUGGUUUGUUGAAGAAAGUUCGGGGGCUUCCAGUGACUGCUAUGGUUUGCAUGACUUUUAAAGCUCUUAUUGACCGUUUUGUGGAACGAAGCAAUCUUGCUGAUGCUUUAUUACAAAAUAAUAAUCUAUGGCCUCCUGCCGUUGAAAACAAAUUCUUAGAUUAUUGGGAUAGAGCGCAAUCGCACUGACAUGAUGACUUGUCAAACUGGUGAUGGGGUAUUUGAGAUUCUUACUUUUGCAUGUGAUGGUAAGGGUGGAAAUGUCCACACAGUUACUGCCAAGAAAAAAAUAUGUUCUUUUGAAAAAUGGAAGAAUUAUCACAUGCCAUGCUCACAUUGUAUUAAGUUUUGUGGCAUUCGUGGCAUCGAACCUAAUACAUAUGUUAGCAAGUACUACAGCAUCAAGCUAUACAAACAAACGUAUAGUGGUAAAAUUUACCCCGUGAGUAAUGAACGAUAUUGGCCGCCAGCCCCAUUUGCUUUAGUUGCAAACGUUGAAUAUAUGCGGACAUCUGGUGUUGAAGAAAGAACCCGACUUAAGAAUGAUAUGGAUAUUGCUCCAACUCGCAUGGCUAGAAAGUGUAGUAUUUGCAA